rnacentral:lncRNA from 1 species
AAAUGUCAUUUUGUUUGCUUGAUGUCUCCAGUGUUCCCUGUGAUCCCCAGUGUGCCUUCAUUGAAACCUCUUGAUUUGCAUUACUCCUCGUCUCCUCGCUCCUUCGUUCCGGUGCUCCUUGAGUGAACCGUGACAGAACAGCAGAACUAACAAAAAAUGUGCACGGCGUGCUUUUUUCAGUAAUAAAGGCCGGGGGAGAGUUUGAACAGAGCGAGCGGGAGGGAUCUGCAGAAGUGUCACCCAACCAUGAACAGCUCCACAGCUGUGUGUCUGAAGAGCAGAACCAGAGAGGUAACACCACGAGACAGAUUCAUCUUAGCAAAGCAAACCUGAACGCUGUCUGCAGGAUACAAACCCUUCCGCAGAUGUCAAUAACAGUGAUGCAGGAUGAGAAUCACUGGCGAUAUUACAUGACGGCUCAUCCUCAGCUGGCAGCAGCGUGGUAUAACACGAUCCCAUCAGCAGAGCAAACAGACAGAUGAGGACGACGGUGAGAGGAGAGCAGACUGUAGCCUGCAGCUAUUGAAGCCGUCCACAUGGGGCCAGGGCUUAGACAGCUAAACUCUCUCUAGGGGUCCUGUGUGCUCACUCAUACACAUCAGCCACGGAGACAGCGCUGACAGAAGACAAACAGGAAGUGGAGAGCAGAGGGAAAUGUGAAAAUCCUGUCGAAAUCCAUAAAGCCAAUAGAGAGCUGCUGCGUUUCACUGUAACUUCUUUACUGAUCUGAAAACUGUACAUUUAAACCAGUGCCAUGCUAAGAAUCCUGUAUAAC